rnacentral:rRNA from 1 species
UAAUACGUAGGGGGCGAGCGUUGUCCGGAUUUAUUGGGCGUAAAGAGCUCGUAGGCGGUUCGAUAAGUCGGAUGUGAAAUCUCCACGCUCAACGUGGAGGGGCCAUUCGAUACUGUCGUGACUCGAGUCCGGUAGGGGAGUGUGGAAUUCCCGGUGUAGCGGUGAAAUGCGCAGAGAUCGGGAGGAACACCCGUAGCGAAGGCGGCACUCUGGGCCGGUAC